GGCAAACUGCACUGUCUGAGAUGAUAUCAACCAGUAAUUAUUCAAGCUCGCAGCUGUUUUCAGCUGAGCAGGAGAAAGAAUGGCAAACCAUUCCAUGUCUUUGCCAAGAAAACCUCAUAGACAGUAUGGUCCGUGGGGUCACAAAGAGUCAGAUAUGAUCAGACAACAACAAAACAGAUAAUAUGGUAUAAUGGAAAUAAGCAUUGCAUCUAUAACCAAAGGACCUAUACUUAUUAUCUGUACUACUACUACUACUGAUGAUGAUGAUAACGAUAAUUACAUUUAUAUAAAGUUUUAAUGUCUGCAAAGCCCUUGACAUUAUUUCACUGGAAUAUCAUUAUAACCCUUCCAGGUAGAUGCUAUUAUUUUCCCCAUUUUGCUAAUGAAGAAAUUAAGAAUCACAGAGAUUCAGUGACUUACCCAGGGUAACACAGUUAAUAACUAUGUGAAGUAUUAUUUGUACUCGGGUCUUCCUGACUCUGGGUCAGGAUGUCAUGUAUGUUUUCUGGGCUCCAUUUAUUCAUGUUCCUAUAAGCACCCAUGAUUUUAUUGUUAGCAAAAAUACAUAAGGAAGAUAAUUGUAAAAAAAAAUGUCACCAAGCCAAGCUGCCUCUAUUAAGCUUUCACUCUUGACUUAGUUUUCAUGGUUUCUAGGAAUAUAAUGGGCUGAAGCAAAUCCCUCAUCACAGCUCCAGUGAGAGUAUUUGCAAUUUCACUAAAUGAAUUCCCCUAAUAAUUUGAUGAAGGUCCACGCUAAUGAGCCAGAGAUAUAACAGGCAGUAAAAGAAAUUUCUGAUCACCAGUCAGGUGAGACUUUAAGUCUCAGGCACCACAAGUAUAACAAAGGGAAAAGCAGUUCAAAAGGUAGAUGUAAAAAGUGAAUACAGUCUUCACAGUAGGAUGACGCUCCGAAAGCCCACGGGUCUAACAAACUAUGGAAUUGGCAGAGUCCUGGUCACCUGAAGCUAUGGAGACCAGCAGAUGAUACGGGGCUCCAACAGCAGAGGUAGAUAUUUAUAACAGCUUCAAAGAUAGCAGCACAGAAAACAUUGAAAAGAA
rnacentral:lncRNA from 1 species